rnacentral:rRNA from 1 species
UACGGAGGUGGUUAGCGUUGUUCGGAAUUACUGGGCGUAAAGCGCGCGUAGGCGGAUCAGAAAGUUGGGGGUGAAAUCCCGGGGCUCAACCCCGGAAUUGCCUUCAAAACUCCUGGUCUUGAGUUCGAGAGAGGUGAGUGGAAUUCCGAGUGUAGAGGUGAAAUUCGUAGAUAUUCGGAGGAACUCCAGUGGCGAAGGCGGCCCACUGGCUCGAUACUGACGCUGAGGUGCGAAAGCGUGGGGAGCAAACAGG